UACGUAGGGGGCUAGCGUUGUCCGGAAUCAUUGGGCUUAAAGCGCGUGUAGGCGGCUCGGCACGUCGGACGCUGAAAUCCCCCGGCUCAACCGGGGAAGUGGCGCCGAUACGGCCGGGCUGGAGGGGGGUAGGGGGGCCUGGAACUUCGGGUGGAGCGGUGAAAUGCGUUGAGAUCCGAAGGAACGCCCGUGGCGAAAGCGAGGCCCUGGACCCUUUCUGACGCUGAGACGCGAAAGCCAGGGGAGCGAACGGG
rnacentral:rRNA from 1 species